UUUUAUUUUUUUAAAUUGGCAUAUUAAAUCUUUUGCAGGACUGAAUCCUUGAUGUUGUUGAGGAACAAGGGGGGCUGCUUGCUGUGUGUUUAUGUAUUCAGCAGUGAGUGUGGUAUUUAGUAGUCAGUGUAUGUGUUCAGCAGUCUGUGUGUGUGUAUUCAGCAGUCUGUGUGUGUGUAUUCAGCAGUGUGUGCGUGUAUUCAGCAGUAUGUGUGUGUGUGUAUUCAGCAGUUAGUGUAUGUGUUCUGC